CUGACUUCUGUCUUGCUAGGAUGUUCUGACUCUUUGUGCUUGCUGGCUCUAAUGAAGCCAGCUGCUCUGUCAUGAGAGGCAGCUUAGAGAGGCUCACGUGGCAAGGCAUUGAGGGUGGCCUCCAACCAACAGCUAGUGAGAAAUUGAAGUCCUCAGCCCAAUGGCCCAUGAAAAACUGAAUUCUGCAAAUAACCACGUGAGUGAUCUUGGAAGUGAAUCCAUCCCAUUGGAACCUUGAUAUGACUGCAGCCAGGGAGAGACUCUGACCCAAAGGACUCAGCUGAGCCACACCUGGACCCCUGACCCACAGAAACAAGAUCUCAUCAAAUAACCAGGAAAGACCAACCAACAGA
rnacentral:lncRNA from 10 species